rnacentral:tRNA from 1 species
AUAGCGCAGCUUGGUAGCGCAUCUGGUUUGGGACCAGAGGGUCGGGGGUUCGAAUCCCUCU